rnacentral:tRNA from 1 species
CAGGGAGACAACAAAAUGUUAAAUAUUAAUUUUGUCACCUUAGGUCGAUCGGUAUCUCACAUUCUUAAUUCAUUAAGGAUUUUAUUUCCUAAGUUUUUUCUAGGUCACACCCAUAUACUUUUCCUGGGCCAUUAGCUCAGGUGGUUAGAGCGCACCCCUGAUAAGGGUGAGGUCCCUGGUUCAAGUCCAGGAUGGCCCAUAUCUCUAUGUUGGGGGUAUAGCUCAGUUGGUAGAGCGCCUGCUUUGCAAGCAGGAUGUCAGCGGUUCGAGUCCGCUUACCUCCACUGAUUACCACCUCUUCCAUAUUUUUAGAAGGGAAAUUAUUGAGGUGUGAUCAAAUUCUGAACGAAUCUAGCUUCCUAAUUACACUUAUUAAGACGCUGGACUCAUUGAAUUAAUUUCAUUGUUUUCAGAGAACCUUGACAACUGCAUAGAUUUUUUUUAAAGACAAUAAGCAUCUUUAAUGAUGCAGAUUUAUUAUUUGUGCGAAUGCAUUAAAUAACAAUUCUAUUAAGCUGAUGCUUCAAAUUUUUGAAGUUAUU